CCGCCAUUAGCUCAGCAGGAUAGAGCGUGCAGUAGUAUGCAGGUGCGGGGUUCGAGACCUCGAUGGCGGACCA
rnacentral:tRNA from 1 species